UCGCAUUCAGCAUCCCUUCGUCUUUGGCACUCACAUGCCUAGGCACAUUGCUUUGCAACAUGCAAGCUUUGUAUCUCCAUCGGCAUCCCUUUGCUUUCGGCAUUCCCUUUGUCUUCGGCACCCCUGUACCUAGCCACAUCGCCUAGGACAUGCAAGCUUUGUGUCUUCUGCACCCCCGUGCCUAGCCACAUUCCCUUGCAACAUGCAAGCUUUGUCUCGCCUUCGGCAACUUCGGCACCCACAUGCUUAGGCACGUUACCUUGCAACAAGCAAGUUUUGUGUCGCCUUCGGUACCCCUGUGCUUAGGCACAUCUCCGUGCCUAGCCACAUUGCCUUGCAACAUGCAAGCUUUG
rnacentral:lncRNA from 1 species